rnacentral:ncRNA from 1 species
GAGCAAUGUAAGUGUGAGAAGUGGAAAAUAGAAUCCAUAACUUCAAGAGAAGGAUUGGCUGUGGGGGUCGAGUUAGACGGGCCGAGAUCGGACACGUGUUAGUCCAGUUGGAGGCUGGUUUCUCUGCAUAUUGUUUGCGCUUUAGUGCGCAAUGUUAUGGAGUUGCUGGACCCUGACCGCGAUCGGUCAAGGGUGGUCUCAGUUGCUAGCAUUGUAUGGCUGGCAACGUGUGUGGACUUGCUCUGCGUUGCGCCAAGCAGCUCUACUCCCGUUGUUUCGCGCGCGACUGCUAACCCAGAACUGGUGUGAUCAGAAGGAACCAGAGUGCCUAAUUAAAACGAGGCAUUGUGAAGUCCACUGACCGGUUAUGACGCAGCGUCAUUUCCGCCUAGUGCUCUGAAUGUCAAAGUGGAGGAAUUCAAAUAAGCGCGAGUAAACAGUGGGAGUAACUAUGGACCGUUACCCGUACGCUUAUUUCUGAUAUGGUGCCAUUCAUGCGAAAUAAAAUUGUCACGUUUGACGAGCGCGGAGGUAGUUUCCGGUUUUGCAGGAUAGUGACACUGACUACAUGCCUGUGACUGGUGUCAUGAAUACUUUUUCUGAUUACAGCCUCCACACUGUAUUUUUGGUACAAGUAUGGAAUUUUCAGCAUGGAUAUCGGUAGCCCAAAUUUCGUAGGCCGACCAUAGAUAUCAGGUGUGCGUCGGAGGGGGAUCAAACCUUGGGCCAUGUGCAUGGUCGGCGAGAGUCCUAACCACUGUGCCACCGACGCACAUAUGGAACAAGGGCCUGCUGUUCGCCAUAAUAUC